rnacentral:lncRNA from 1 species
CGGUUUUUCGGAUGACUGCCUUGCCUGGUUCACCAAUUACUUUGCAGACAGAGUUCAGUGCGUCAAAUCGGAGGGCAUGCUGUCUGGUCCUCUGGCAGUCUCUAUGGGGGUGCCACAGGGUUCAAUUCUCGGGCCGACUCUUUUCUCUGUGUAUAUCAAUGAUGUUGCUCUUGCUGCGGGCGAUUCCCUGAUCCACCUCUACGCAGACGACACCAUUCUAUAUACCUUCGGCCCGUCUUUGGACACUGUGCUAUCUAACCUCCAAACAAGCUUCAAUGCCAUAAAACACUCCUUCCGUGGCCUCCAACUGCUCUUAAACGCUAGUAAAACCAAAUGCAUGCUUUUCAACCGGUCGCUGCCUGCACCCGCAUGCCCGACUAGCAUCACCACCCUGGAUGGUUCCGACCUAAAAUAUGUGGACGUCUAUAAGUACCUAGGUGUCUGGCUAGACUGCAAACUCUCCUUCCAGACUCAUAUCAAACAUCUCCAAUCGAAAAUCAAAUCAAGAGUCGGCUUUCUAUUCCGCAACAAAGUUGCCAAGCUUACCCUAGUAAAACUGACUAUCCUACCGAUCCUCGACUUCGGCGAUGUCAUCUACAAAAUGGCUUCCAACACUCUACUCAGCAAACUGGAUGCAGUCUAUCACAGUGCCAUCCGUUUCGUCACUAAAGCACCUUAUACCACCCACCACUGCGACUUGUAUGCUCUAGUCGGCUGGCCCUCGCUACAUAUUCGUCGCCAGACCCACUGGCUCCAGGUCAUCUACAAGUCCAUGCUAGGUAAAGCUCCGCCUUAUCUCAGCUCACUGGUCACGAUGGCAACACCCAUCCGUAGCACGCGCUCCAGCAGGUGUAUCUCACUGAUCAUCCCUAAAGCCAACACCUCAUUUGGCCGCCUUUCGUUCCAGUACUCUGCUGCCUGUGACUGGAACGAAUUGCAAAAAUCGCUGAAGUUGGAGACUAUUAUCUCCCUCACCAACUUCAAACAUCAGCUAUCUGAGCAGCUAACCGAUCGCUGCAGCUGUACAUAGUCUAUUGGUAAAUAGCCCACCCUUUUUCACCUACCUCAUCCCCAUACUGUUUUUAUUUAUUUACUUUUCUGCUCUUUUGCACACCAAUAUCUCUACCUGUACAUGACCAUCUGAUCAUUCAUCACUCCAGUGUUAAUCUGCAAAAUUGUAAUUAUUUGCCUACCUCCUCAUGCCUUUUGCACACAUUGUAUAUAGACUCCCCCUUUGGUUUCUACUGUGUUAUUGACUUGUUAAUUGUUUACUCCAUGUGUAACUCUUUGUUGUCUGCUCACACUGCUAUGCUUUAUCUUGGCCAGGUCGCAGUUGCAAAUGAGAACUUGUUCUCAACUAGCCUACCUGGUUAAAUAAAGGUGAAAUAAAAAAAUAUA